GGGGGAGGAGCCAAGAUGGCCGAAUAGGAACAGCUCCGGUCUACAGCUCCCAGCGUGAGCGACGCAGAAGACGGGUGAUUUCUGCAUUUCCAUCUGAGGAUGAUUAACAGCAUUCAAGGUGGUGGCUACACAUCACAUCAGCCUGGAUUCUCAAGUAGGAAGAUACGCAACAGAGCAUCCAGCUGACCUUCACUGGAUAUGUUCAUGCAGCAAUAUGGUGGGGACGCAUACUACAGCUGAGCUCUGGACAGGAAGUUUUCCAUUUUAUGAGAAACUCAAACCACCAAGAAAACCAGCUUAUCUCACAAAAUAUUUUUAUACUUCUCUAGAACUCAGUAAGAGGCCCUCAACGGAUUGGAUGAUGCCUCUCCACGGUCCACAUCGGUGAGGGUGAUUGUCUUUACUCAGCCUAUUGAUUCAAACACUAAUCUCUUCUGGAAACACUCUCAGACUCACCCAGAAGUAAUGUUUGGCCAGCCAUCGGAGCAUCCUCUGGCUUAGUCAAGUUAACACAUAGAAUUAACCAUCACAGAAGGCAACAGAAAAACCUUUAAAGAAUCAAUAGAAAAUAUGUGCAUCAGAAAAUAUUGCUGGCUUACCCAAAAGCUAUUUCCCUUUUGUUCCUUACUAACAACUCUUACUUUGUUUAUAUUUGAGGAAGUAAUGUACUUAAGGAAGUUUUGUCUCUAACCCAGCAUUCAAGAAUGCGAAGACAAUCACGUUAAUCCCAUUUCCUCUACCAGUGAUUGGUGUGGAGGUGGGCAUAUCACUCACUUAUAACCAAAAGGUCCUGAGGGGGACUUACUAAGAACUUUUCAGAAAGGUUUUUCUCCAUGAUUAAAAGAAAAAUUGUAAAGGAAACAUCCCUUUCCUGUUUGAAUUCACUUGUGUGAGGACGUGAUGCUUGUAUCUAUGGCAACCAUUCUGUAACCAUGAGAUGAAAGCUAAAAGAAUCACAGAGAAGCUGACCCAAAACCCAGACAACUACAUUGCUGAAUCAGCAAACCUCAGAACUAUUUAUUUCCAGAUUUGUGUUGUAUGAAUAAUGAAUUCUUGUUUUUAGGCUCUAGUAAAUAUUCCAUUUCUUAGAGCAAACAGCAUUCUCAUGGAUAAAAUAUUUAUGAAUAACAUCCAUCUGUUUCCCUUUUAUUCAAUAUUUCAAGGUUAUUGAAAUUAUUAUAAAUAAAAUCAUUAAUAUUAUUUUUAAUCUACAUUUUUAUUUAGGUAUAACUAUAAAUUAGGCAUAACAAUUGAUAGCAUCUGAUAGACAUGAUUAGAGUUCAUGGGAAUAUACAGCUAAAUCUUUACAAAGGUCAUUAUAGCAGGUCAUUUUACAAUGUCUAGAGUCUUUACCAUCUCAUUUAUAUUUUCUCAUUUGAC
rnacentral:lncRNA from 10 species